ACAAGGACAGGUGAUGUCAGAAUAAAUAAAUAUAAAGGCCGUAAGCAUAUUGCACUUUAUAGAAAGUGAGGAAUCUGUGUUUCAAGUUUCUUAACGUUUUGUAGAUGGCUUUCAAAUAUACACAAUCUAUACAAUAUAAAAUGUAUUUCAGUCAAGACCUAAAAACAAAAUUUGGUCCGAACUGUAUAAGCAUAAAAUAUUCAAUCUGGGUCAUUCGAUUUAAUCUUGAGUGACUAUUUAUUAAAGCGGUUUAAAAAAUUUAACGCCGUUAAAUUUGGUUUGCGUUAACGCCGUUAAUAACGCGUUUAACUGACAGCUCUAAUAAAUACACAUUUUUUAGGAUAGUCACAAAGCCAAAUCAUCAUCGUUGACCUAAGAAAGCACCAUGACCUGAGUACUCCUACGUAACAGACAAAUAUGUUCUGACAACGGUAGGAAUAUAUCAUUAGUGAGGUCUAUCCUUACCUGUGGUUCUCAAAUAGAGAACUUCAGAACAUGAUGAUUGGAGAUCUUAUGAGAUAUGAUUAUAUCUUCUUCCUUCCUGGCUGAGCGCAACAACCCUCCAGGUUUCCAUUCUGACUAUAAGAAAAUGUUAAACAAAUACAUAUAUCUGUAAUACAGCCUACAUCACAGGUGUGUACUGUCCUCAAAGCAAACGGACAAUGAAGUCCCAAUCUCUUUCGUAAUUGACAGGCUUUUGAGUGGUUAAAAAUUGUCGAUGGGAGUUUUAAGUUUUUAGCUUUUUAUUGGUGGAAUAGGAGGCGAUAAAGCGACUUCAUCAACUGCAUAUUUGUGAACGAGCAAACUCAUCGAGUGAACUCCAUCAAACCUGGUUCAAGAGCUCUCGUGAGAUGUAAUGAUAUCUCCUUCCAGACCUGGUGCCACAACCUACGUGGACCUAUUUUGAUUUAUAAAUGAUUUGUAAAAUGCUGCUGAGUUGAUGGUGAUACAUCAUUAGUUAAUUCUGUUAUAUCUAGACUGCUCUGUUUCUCAGUCACCAUGUUGCAAUUACACAAUUUAUACUGAACUCAUCAAUCCAUUUGCCAUUGUUGUUCCUUUGCCAAAAAGAUUAAUUUCAAACUUCAGCAUCAUUAGCUGAGGUUAAAGACAUCUCAUCAAAUGUAAUUUAACAUUUAAAUCAUGAAGGUAAAUCAUCAUUGUUGACUUAAGGUAGCACCAUGACCUAGGUACUCCUACGUAAAAGUAACAAAUGUUCUGACAACGGUAGGAUCAUAUCAUUAGUGAGGUCUAUCCUUACCUGUGGUUCUUUAAAAGAGAACUUCAGAACAUGAUGAUUGGAGAUCUUAUGAGAUAUGAUUAUAUCUCCUCCUGGCUGAGCGCAACAACUCUCCAGGUUUCCAUUCUGACUAUAACAAACUGUAAAACAAAUACAUAUAUCUGUAAUACAGCCUACAUCACAGGUGUGUACUGUCCUCAAAACAAACGGACAAUGAAGUCCCAAUCUCUUUCGUAAUUGACAGGCUUUUGAGUUGUUUCAAUUUUUCAACGUGAGUUUUCGUUUAUAUGUUUUUAUUGGUGGAAAUAGGAGGCGAUCAAGAGACUUUAUAAACUGCAUAUUUGUGAACGAGCAGACUCAUCGAGUGAACUCCAUCAAACCUGGUUCAAGAUCUCUCGUGAGAUGCAAUGAUAUCUCCUUCCAGACCUGGUGCCACAACCUACGUGGACCUAUUUUGAUUUAUAAUUGAUUUGUA
ensembl:lncRNA